GGCCACAGGAGAGCAGCUUGAUAUACCCCUUCUGUUGAGAAGAUGGGUGGAGAAAUGAAGAGAAUCCCAGAGCUCUGACCCAUGGCCUGGAACAAACAAACAAACAAAAAGAAUGGAGUUGGAAUAGGAAGAACCUCAGGGAUGGGGUAGAACAUGGUGGUUCAGCUGGCUCCUUCUGUCAUCUGUGGGUCCAGGUCGACCUUCCUCUAUGAUUUCUCGGAGCUUAUUUACAGUGGUCUGUGAUCAUGUCUGCAAGUCUGUUUAGUGUCCCAGGAUGGAAUUUAUCUGUGCCUGGAGAUUGGUGCUUCCUUCA